rnacentral:lncRNA from 1 species
AAAAAAAAACCCUUAAUUUUCAACUGUCCUAUCUAUAUUCAACUCAUAGGAAUCUGUGAUUAUAUAAUAAGUUUGUUAGAGAAUUGCUCAACUCUUCUUUCUUUGUGACAAUAAGCAAAAGUAGAGGCUUAAGCCUUUUUAAUCACCUGAGUCUCAGUACCCAUCACUUGAAGAGGCAAAUGUUAUUUUGGAAUUGCAACUGUUGGAAAUAACUUAUUGAAAAUAUAUUUUAUUAUGUUGUGUUCUUCUCCUGUGGACCACUGGCAGUUUUCUCUAUCAGUGUAAUUUUGUAGUUAAGAAAAUGGAUUCUGAAUCUAGACUGACUGUGUCAAACCUUAGUACCAAUUUUGCUAGUUACAAAUUCUGUGUGAUCAGGCCCACUGUCUAUGGAUUUUAUUCACAAGGCAAAUAAGAGGGUUUUAAAGAUAAUCUUUGCAUCAUCAGCCUGCAUGGCAUGUCUGAAAAUUAGUGCCUAUGGGCUGUGAAUAUUAUAUUGCUAUAGAAUAUAUGGAUACUGAUUUCUCACUUGUGUAUAGCUAGUUGUAUUUUUAUUAAGUAAUCUAAAAAUUAUUUUUCUGUAAUUGGGAUGACCUACAAAGCUCAGUCAAGUCUAGAAAAGAAGUUAAUAACACCAAUGUAAUCUGAAGACUUAAUUUACUUUGAAACAGUGAAUUGCAUUAACUCCUUCAAGGAUCCUACAUUUGCAAUUUGAUUUUCAUUUUUUCAAAAGGAACCAGCUGAUCAGAAGCAAUGAAUUUAAUUCAUCUCAUCAUCUAGCAUCAAAAUAAACAUAAAGUGUUUAUUUAGAAAUAAAGGAAGGGAGGCAGGAAGGAAGAAAGAAAAAAGAAGAGGAAAAGGAGAGGGAGAAAGGGGACUUAGAAAAGAGGAACAAUUGACAUUUACAGUCUAAGCAUAUUUCACUUCAAUUAUCUGAAUAGUUUUCAAUCAAAACUUUCAAUUUUUCCCAAACUCAUGAACCAUAACAAAAUAUUAUUCUCAGGUGAAGCAUUGAAUAGCAGUAUGUGCCUGUUACAAAUUAAAUAGUGAUACUUGCUAUUAAGGGGAAAAUGCAAGUUUUAGAGCCUUAAUAAUGUAUUUGUGUUCAGGGUGGCAGUAACGUUUAUGCCAAAACCAAACACAGUCUGGUAACACAAACUUCCCAUCCCUGGCUUACAGUGAUAUCCUAAUUAUCCUUCAGUGGCAAAUGUGUAAACAUUUUUACUAUGUAAUACUAUAUAAAAUACAAUGGUAAAUCACAUCUCCAUAUAUAAAUUUUAUAAGAACACAAAUUAUUGCUUAUAUUUUCAAUUAUGCAUCCAGAUAGAAAAGCAAGUUCUAAGAUGAUAUAUAUGUUAUAUUUAUGUUAAUAUUUAAAUAUCUAAUAAAUUAUUGUUUAUGGAUUCAAACAGGUGGAGUAAAUACACAUAAUCGUAUAUUGGAAUGGUACCAUAACCCCAGCACAGUGAUUACUGCUGAGGUGUAGGGAGGACAACUGAGAUGGGCAAAGUGGGCUUUAGACAAAUCUGUAAGUGUAUGCAGAUGCGAAUAUAACUAUGGAUGCAUAUUUGAAAAUAUAAGAAAGCAACAAUAUCUGUUAUAAGAGUGUCUGGUCCAUUAUUUCUGUAUAUUUAAAAAUUUUAAUAACUAAAGCUAUGAAAGACUUUUUUUACAUAUGCUAUGACAUUAAAAAUAGAGCAAACUCAGCU